rnacentral:tRNA from 1 species
GGUGAGAUGGCCGAGUGGUUAUGGCGCCGUGUUCAGGAACACCAUUAACAAUACCAUCAUCCGAUGUAUUAGGUAUUAUGAGCAAUCUUCGCGGUGGAGCAAUCCGCGUAAGUUCGAGUCCCACUCUCAUCA